GUGCCAAUUCCAAAAGUUGCCCAGAGCAUUCGACUUGCCAUAACAGUCUUGGAAGCUACUCUUGCGUCUGCAACCCAGGAUAUGUAUCCAGAAGUGGAAAGAAGAGUUUCCAGGGACCAGGGGAGACGUGUCAAGAUAUAGAUGAAUGUUCUCAAAAGCCCCCACCUUGUGGUCCUAACUCAGUCUGCAGAAACCUGCCAGGAAAGUAUGAGUGCAGCUGUUUGACUGGUUUCUCUUCUCCCACCGGAAAUAACUGGAUCCCUGGAAAGCCGGGAAAUUUCACCUGUAAAGACAUUAAUGAAUGCCUCUCCCGUGGGGUCUGCCCUGAGCAUUCUGAGUGCACCAACUCUUUGGGAAGCUACCGUUGCAGCUGCAAAGUUGGAUUCACCUCUAAAAACUCCAUCUGCGAAG